CCUACGGGAGGCUGCAGUGAGGAAUAUUGGUCAAUGGGCGAGAGCCUGAACCAGCCAAGUCGCGUGAGGGAGUACUGCCCUAUGGGUUGUAAACCUCUUUUGUCGGGGAGCAAAAGCCGGACGUGUCCGGCUGUGAGAGUACCCGAAGAAAAAGCAUCGGCUAACUCCGUGCCAGCAGCCGCGGUAAUACGGAGGAUGCGAGCGUUAUCCGGAUUUAUUGGGUUUAAAGGGUGCGCAGGCGGAUUUUUAAGUCAGCGGUCAAAUCGUGGGGCUCAACCCCAUCCAGCCGUUGAAACUGGGGGUCUAGAGUGGGCGAGAGGUAUGCGGAAUGCGUGGUGUAGCGGUGAAAUGCAUAGAUAGCACGCAGAACCCCGAUUGCGAAGGCAGCAUACCGGUGCACAACUGACGCUCAGGCACGAAAGCGUGGGUAUCGAACAGGAUUAGAUACCCUAGUAGUC
rnacentral:rRNA from 1 species